UACGUAGGGCGCAAGCGUUGUCCGGAAUUAUUGGGCGUAAAGAGCUCGUAGGCGGUCUGUUACGUCCGCUGUGAAAACCCAGGGCUUAACCCUGGGCUUGCAGUGGAUACGGGUAGACUAGAGGCAGGUAGGGGAGAAUGGAAUUCCCGGUGUAGCGGUGAAAUGCGUAGAUAUCUGGAGGAACACCGGUGGCGAAGGCGGCAUCCUGGACCGACACUGACGCUGAGGCGCGAAAGCUAGGGGAGCAAACGGG
rnacentral:rRNA from 1 species